rnacentral:tRNA from 1 species
GGAGCAGUUGGUAGCUCACUGGUAGAGUGCAUGCUUUGUGUGUAUGACGUGUUGGGUUCGAAUCCCAGCUGCUCUC